rnacentral:lncRNA from 1 species
AACGAACAAACGUGGGAAUUGAAAAACGGAACAAGGGGACAAAAUCGUAAUGUGGAGAUGACAGUCCGACUCUGUCUCCAAGCGCAACACGAAAGCUACGCAAAAACGGCGAGGAAUGAAGACCCCUGCAGCGUUCAUUUCCCAAAAACCUCCAUCUCCACUUUUUCUCAAAUUCACCAGCAACUGCAAUUCAAAGCUCUUAUGCGCCAACAGAAGCCAAACUAUUCAGUGUGGACAAAUCAAGAGCUUCGAGAAUCAACCUCAGAAAUGGAGCAUUGAUUUCAAGUCCGGUUCGGAGCCUAUUCAUUUGAUCCAAAAUUCUAUUUCCACCGCCGCCACGUCUGCCUCGGAAUCGGCUUCCAGGACUAUGAAAAAGGUCUGCCUUUUUUACUGCCCCGAGACCCAUUCGCUUGCUGAGCGAGUGGCUGCUCAGUCUGAUGCCAUUGAGCUCCGUAGCAUCAACUGGAGGUAAUUUUAUCAUUUCGCCCUCCAUUUUCUUUUUCUUAAUGUUUUCCUCCUUUAGUUUUGUUAGAUGUACGAGGAAUGGCAAAUUUUUCAGGUGCUUUUAAUUUUAGCCAAAAGUUAUUUUUUAUCCGACUAAAAUGGCCAACAAAAAUGGGGGAAAAAGAAGAAAAAAUAUAUUUGAUUUCUCGCUCUGUAAAUCAGCUCAAAAUUAGAGCUUUUGGGCCCCUGUGGUCCCGCAUCUAAAAGGCGUUGUCAAUUUAGUGAUGAUUUUUCACCAAGUAUUAUAUGUGAAAUGAUUCAAUCACUAUUCAUAAGCUUGUGCAGUUGUGCUGUGCGGUGUAUUGCUACGGACAGGUUUGAAUUAGACAUUACUUAAGUUGCCAUUCUUGCUUGUCUAAAUUUGAGAAAAGCAAAUGAUUCAAGUUCUAGUUAUUGCGUUUUAACAUUUUUAUGCAAUUUGAAACUCUAGGAAAUUCAAAGAUGGAUUCCCCAACUUAUUUAUACCAAAUGCUCAUGGCAUUCGUGGACAGCAUGUAGCUUUUCUGGCCUCCUUUAGUUCUCCGGGUAAAAUUUUUGAGCAGCUAUCUGUGAUCUAUGCGUUGCCGAAACUGUUCGUCUCUUCGUUCACACUUGUGCUUCCUUUCUUUCCCACCGGCACUUCUGAACGCAUGGAGGAUGAGGGAGAUGUUGCAACAGCUUUCACUCUUGCUAGGAUCUUGUCAAAUAUACCAACUUCUAGGGGGGGACCAACUAGCUUAGUGACAUUUGAUAUACAUGCAUUGCAGGUUUUUUAUUUUGAAAUGAUUUAUUCCGCUAGUUAAUUAGCAAUUAUAUUUUUCUUCGAUUGCUUUGCUUGUGGUCAAUUAUAUAUUAUAUAUUCUUAUUUCAUUCAUUUUAUAAUAAAAAUUUUAAAGACUUAUUUAUUAAAAUAAUUUUAUAAUUUUAAAUAAAACUGUAAUUCAGAACGAAACAAACGCUGUCUUGUAAAAAAAAAAAAGCGCUAAAAUAUUUUACUCAAAUAAAUAAAAAGCUUUGCCGAACAUAAACGGCGUCGUUGAGGGCAGCAGUGCCUCAUGGCUCAUAGUCAUAGCAGGCAGGCAGCACGCAGCAAAUAGCAUAUCAACGAACAAACGUGGGAAUUGAAAAACGGAACAAGGGGACAAAAUCGUAAUGUGGAGAUGACAGUCCGACUCUGUCUCCAAGCGCAACACGAAAGCUACGCAAAAACGGCGAGGAAUGAAGACCCCUGCAGCGUUCAUUUCCCAAAAACCUCCAUCUCCACUUUUUCUCAAAUUCACCAGCAACUGCAAUUCAAAGCUCUUAUGCGCCAACAGAAGCCAAACUAUUCAGUGUGGACAAAUCAAGAGCUUCGAGAAUCAACCUCAGAAAUGGAGCAUUGAUUUCAAGUCCGGUUCGGAGCCUAUUCAUUUGAUCCAAAAUUCUAUUUCCACCGCCGCCACGUCUGCCUCGGAAUCGGCUUCCAGGACUAUGAAAAAGGUCUGCCUUUUUUACUGCCCCGAGACCCAUUCG